CUGAUGCGUUGUUGGGUAGGGGAGCGUUCUGUAAGCCUGCGAAGGUGUGCUGUGAGGCAUGCUGGAGGUAUCAGAAGUGCGAAUGCUGACAUAAGUAACGAUAAAGCGGGUGAAAAGCCCGCUCGCCGGAAGACCAAGGGUUCCUGUCCAACGUUAAUCGGGGCAGGGUGAGUCGACCCCUAAGGCGAGGCCGAAAGGCGUAGUCGAUGGGAAACAGGUUAAUAUUCCUGUGCUUGGUGUUACUGCGAAGGGGGGACGGAGAAGGCUAUGUUGGCCGGGCGACGGUUGUCCCGGUUUAAGCGUGUAGGCUGGUUUUCCAGGCAAAUCCGGAAAAUCAAGGCUGAGGCGUGAUGACGAGGCACUACGGUGCUGAAGCAACAAAUGCCCUGCUUCCAGGAAAAGCCUCUAAGCAUCAGGUAACAUCAAAUCGUACCCCAAACCGACACAGGUGGUCAGGUAGAGAAUACCAAGGCGCUUGAGAGAACUCGGGUGAAGGAACUAGGCAAAAUGGUGCCGUAACUUCGGGAGAAGGCACGCUGAUAUGUAGGUGAAGUCCCUCGCGGAUGGAGCUGAAAUCAGUCGAAGAUACCAGCUGGCUGCAACUGUUUAUUAAAAACACAGCACUGUGCAAACACGAAAGUGGACGUAUACGGUGUGACGCCUGCCCGGUGCCGGAAGGUUAAUUGAUGGGGUCAGCGCAAGCGAAGCUCUUGAUCGAAGCCCCGGUAAACGGCGGCCGUAACUAUAACGGUCCUAAGGUAGCGAAAUUCCUUGUCGGGUAAGUUCCGACCUGCACGAAUGGCGUAAUGAUGGCCAGGCUGUCUCCACCCGAGACUCAGUGAAAUUGAACUCGCUGUGAAGAUGCAGUGUACCCGCGGCAAGACGGAAAGACCCCGUGAACCUUUACUAUAGCUUGACACUGAACAUUGAGCCUUGAUGUGUAGGAUAGGUGGGAGGCUUUGAAGUGUGGACGCCAGUCUGCAUGGAGCCGACCUUGAAAUACCACCCUUUAAUGUUU
rnacentral:rRNA from 1 species